GCCCCAUGAUGUUGAGUUUUUACAAAUCCUCUACAAUGCCAGUGCUGCUGACCUUUGGAUGUUGAUUUUGGAAGCAGUGCUGUGGGCAAGAUGACUGAUAGGCUUACCCUGGACAAAAACAAAAAUGACAGGAGCAUUAAAACAUGUCAAGGGCAGGAGCUGACUGGGAAGCCAAAGUCCUGCAAAGCAAAGGGGAAUUCACACACCUGAAAGGACUGGGAGGAGGGGCAGAAAUGCAGAAGCUUGUGGAUUGAGCACAAUUAUUCUCAGAGGGCCUAGUCCAGAAACACUGAUGUUAUGGAUAAGAGGAG